UACAGAGGGUGCAAGCGUUGUUCGGAAUCACUGGGCUUAAAGCGUGUGUAGGCGGGUGCCUAAGGACCUUGUGAAAUCCCACGGCUCAACCGUGGAACUGCUCGGUAUACUGGGUGCCUUGAGCCAACUAGGGGCGACCGGAACAAACGGUGGAGCGGUGAAAUGCGUAGAUAUCGUUUGGAACGCCGAUGGUGAAAACAGGUCGCUGGGGUUGUGCUGACGCUGAGACACGAAAGCCAGGGGAGCGAACGGG
rnacentral:rRNA from 1 species